UACGGAGGAUCCAAGCGUUAUCCGGAUUCAUUGGGUUUAAAGGGUGCGUAGGCGGAAUUGUAAGUCAGUGGUGAAAGUCUGCAGCUUAACUGCAGAAUUGCCAUUGAUACUGCAAAUCUUGAGUACAUUUGAUGUGGGCGGAAUGUGUCAUGUAGCGGUGAAAUGCUUAGAUAUGACACAGAACACCGAUUGCGAAGGCAGCUCACAAAACUGUAACUGACGC
rnacentral:rRNA from 1 species